GUCAUGGCUCAGUGAUAGAGCAUCUGCUCUGUGUGGAGAUGGUCCCAGGUUCAAUCCCCAACAUGUCCAGGUAGGACC